rnacentral:rRNA from 1 species
UACAGAGGUGGCAAGCGUUGUUCGGAAUUACUGGGCGUAAAGGGCGCGUAGGCGGUCUUGUAAGUCUCGUGUGAAAUCCCUCGGCUUAACUGAGGAACUGCACGGGAUACUGCUUGACUUGAGUUCGGGAGAGGGAAGCGGAAUUCCGGGUGUAGCGGUGAAAUGCGUAGAGAUGUGGAGGAACACCGAUGGCGAAGGCAGCCUUCUGGGCCAAUACUGACGCUCAUGCACGAAAGCGUGGGGAGCAAACAGG